rnacentral:rRNA from 1 species
UCCGUAGGUGGAUAAUUAAGUCAGAGGUGAAAUCCUGCAGCUCAACUGUAGAAUUGCCUUUGAUACUGGUUAUCUUGAGUCAUUAUGAAGUGGUUAGAAUGUGUAGUGUAGCGGUGAAAUGCAUAGAUAUUACACAGAAUACCGAUUGCGAAGGCAGAUCACCAAUAAUGUACUGACACUGAGGGACGAAAGCGUGGGGAGCGAACAGGAUUAGAUACCCUGGUAGUCC